UAUUGUUAUUACCAGUCUGCAAAGGGGAAAGACAUGAACAGAUAAUGGCAAUGAAAGUAGAACACACAAGCAUUAAGGAGCUCCAGGGCAGAGAGUGACUAGCACAGGGGCACAUGAAGGACAAGCAUUCAGCACAGGUUGGAGCAGGCAAUGAGAGGAAGGAGGAGGAAAGAAAAGAGAAAGAAAAACAUAAGGAGCAUGGGAGAUCAAGCUAGGAGAGAGCUGAGAAGGGCACACUCUCCAAGCCAAGGAACAAGUCUUCAGGAAGCUUUGGGAGAAUGUGUCACUUUCUGGGAUUGACAUAAAGUUCCACACUGGACCCGAGACUGCAUGUUCCUGUGUGGAUCUGGGAGAGAUGAAGGUAGACGGACAGAGAGAGGCUGCACCAGGAGACCCCAGGCUGGUGAGUCAGGACUCAGUACUUUGAGAAACUGAAGCCACUGAAGGUUUAGGGUUUUGUUUUGUUUGAAAGGCCAGGCCUGUCCUGAUCAAGCUUUCACUCAUUUGCAGACGUCCUCUCUGAUGACAGUGCAGAGGAUUCACUGCAGAAGACAUGGAAGUGGGCAGGUGGCUGGAUUCCAGGGAAAAGGUCAAUGAGAUCCUAGGAAGAAAAAUAGAGUAGACUGUAACUUUAUCAGAAAUGUGUUGCUAUGUAGAAAACCAAGAUUGAAGAAAGAGCCAGAAUCAAAACAAACACACACCCUGUGUGCUCUCUUUCCUUCCAGUCUUCCAGGCUUCAUGCUGAUAUUGAAGGACUGACCCAGAGGAGGAGCCUUAUGUACUUAUUUUCUAAGGAUAAGAAAAAGAGGACGCCUCUUUGUGCCCUAGAGAGGCCCAUGGAAGAUUGCUGUGGAUUACAGACUCCUGUGUAGAAAGGUGGGAGAGGGGGCUACGUAAAACCCAGGCUGCCUUUAGGGGCUGGGCCUUAUAUAUCCCCUCACUGACAGCACCUGAGCCUGGUCAUUCCAAGUGGAGACCUGGUGAUGUGUGGAGCCAUGUCUCAUCCAACUCGAGCCCUUCAACAUCAAUGAUAACUGCCGUGGGCCAAAAGAUGUUGUUACAGAGCUAACUGCCCAGGAGGAUGAAUGUGUCCAGGCUCUGUCACUGAGAAGGAGAGGAUGGUGGGAGGGUGGCCAGGGCAGACUCGAGGGGCUAAGCUCCGUCUCAUUCCAGCCUCCUGAAGAGGCACCUGGCUCUGGCAUUAGGCCGAAAGUUGAAUUCUGGCUGCAGCACUCAGGCUCCUCGUCUGUGAAGGGAGAGGGUUGAUUUCCACCUUCCAGAGCCUCUGGGGUGCAGGAGGGAAGAGAUGAGUCAGGGCCCAGCUGGAUCUCUGUACCUUCGGUGCACACAAGUCCCAGCUGCUGAAGGGCUGUGGAGAAUUCCACCUGACAAGGAUGCUGGGAUUACCCUCCAGAGACCCUCUGGGCAUCAUGCCCCAGCUAGACUUUCAACUUUCCCCUCCUUCCCCACCCUACCUGUAUUAGUCACAGUUCUCUAGGGUUUUCAAAAAAUUGGCUUACAUGUUUUGGAGGCUAGCAAGUCUAAAUCUGCAAGUGCUCCGGAAGGAGGUGCUGCUGCCAUCAGCAGUAGUGUCUCUUUCUCCUCAGGCAAACCUUAGUUUUGUUUUUAACGUCUUUCAUUGAUUGGAUGAUUUCCCAUCCAGAUUACCUGGAAUAAUACCUAUUUAAAGUCAACUGGUUGUCCAUGUUAACCACAUCUACAAAAUACUUUCACAGCAACACCUAGAUUCAUGUUUAAUGGAAUUAGUGGGUACUAAAGCCUGGCCAAGAUGCACUGAAUUCACCAGAGCCCACCCUUUUUACCUCACAGGCUUUUCCUGAAGAGCUGCCCUCAUUAAAUCACAUGCACCUGGAUCCUCCUGUUAGGCUCUGCUUCUAAGGAACCCAACCCGAGCCAAGGGGAAAGGGGGUGCCAAGGGACCACUGGUCCUGCCUUAAGGUAUUAAAUGAUUGGAACAAACCAGUUAUUCCAUGUCCCAGAAGCAAUUGUGUUCUAAUGAGGACUGUUGGAAAGAAAAAGGACUUCAGGACCUAAAGGAAGUUCUGUUACUGUAAAGCGGUCCCAAUCCAGACUCCAAGCGAGAGUUCUUGGAUCUCAUCAAAGAAAGAAUUUGAUGUUCCCCCUU
rnacentral:lncRNA from 10 species